GACGAACGCUGGCGGCGUGCCUAAUACAUGCAAGUCGAACGCAGUGGCGAACGGGUGAGUAACGCGUAAUCAACCUGCCCUUCAGAGGGGGACAACAGUUGGAAACGACUGCUAAUACCGCAUACUGAAGGAGGGGAUUGCGUCUGAUUAGCUAGUUGGAGGGGUAACGGCCCACCAAGGCGAUGAUCAGUAGCCGGUCUGAGAGGAUGAACGGCCACAUUGGGACUGAGACACGGCCCAGACUCCUACGGGAGGCAGCAGUGGGGAAUCUUCCGCAAUGGACGAAAGUCUGACGGAGCAACGCCGCGUGAGUGAUGACGGCCUUCGGGUUGUAAAGCUCUGUUAAUCGGGACGCGGUACCGGAAUAGAAAGCCACGGCUAACUACGUGCCAGCAGCCGCGGUAAUAC
rnacentral:rRNA from 1 species